rnacentral:tRNA from 1 species
GCUGGAAUGGUCUAGUUGGUUAUGACGACUGCCUCACACGCAGUAGGUCCCGAGUUCGACUCUCGGUUCCAGU